UGGACACUAGUUGGGUUCGUUACUGAUGAGCCAUGACGGGGGAGGGGGGACCCCCGAUUGUGAGCGUCUGCCUUGGCCGUGGAGGUCAGUGGAUGGGACAGAGCAGAGGCUUGGGGGUGCAGGGGUGUGUCCAGCCCCUGGGGCCUGGCCCGCCUUGGUGGGGAGGGCGCAGAAUGGAGCCUCGGGCCGGUCUUGUUGAGCAGACAUCCUGUCCCAUCAGCCAGCAGCUGUCGCCUCCUGAGGCAGUCUGGCCACCUGGCCAGCCUGGGGGACCACCGUCCUGACCUUGCCCGCAGGCCUCCCAGAUGAGCGGAGCCCUGGGUAUAAACAGAACCGGGGUUUCCUGUGGACUCCCCGCCUGUUAGGCAGCCUCGUCGUGGCUGCCGACACACUCAGGUUCCCAAAAGACGACAAAGGUCUAAUCUAGUAAGAAUGUCAGGAGAACAGCGUGCGAGGGAGUCCGAGCUCUUUCUGCGUGUUUCAUGAUUCCUCUGUCUUCAAUACGAAUACAAAGCAUCGAAGAACGAGGCCGCUGCCUGAGACCCUCCUGCCGUAGGGGACGUUUCCCCUCUGACGCGUUGCCUCUUCGGCCAGCGCUGUGCCAGUUCUCCGAAAACUUUAAAAGAUGCUCGUGACGCAGUGCGGCCGCCGCACUCUCGGAGCUGAAACCCGCCUCCCAAAAGACGUGUGCACAGGCGUGUGUAACCCGCUGGGAGCCAUCAGUGACGGUUCACUUUACGUGUCCACAUGCCCGCGCCACGUGUGACGUGCCCGAUCUCUGGGCAGACGUGAUUCUGGGGUGUCUGGGAGGGGGUUUCUGGGUGAGGGUGACAGUGAGUCUGGACACCUCGUGGGCCCGCCCCAUCCAGGGCACCUGACCCUCCAGGAGUGAGAGCGAACCCUCCCGCCUGAUGUCCUCUGCCUGGGGACAUGGCUUGUCCUGCCUUCCGUCUCGACGGGCACCUCAGCUCCUCUUGGGCUCGAAUCCAGCGGCUCUCGGGCUGCACCGCCCAGCCCGGCUCCCGGGGCCUCCGGCCUCUUGCGUCCGCGAGCCCCGCCUCUGCUCCAUUGCAUCCCCCCCCCGCUCCCCCCCCCCGGAAAGGUCACUACCAGGGGAAAGACGCUGGACUUCGCGACAGUAACAGGGAAUAAGCGGCUGAAGUGGCGACAGCAGACGUGCUUCACGAAGGUGCGGUGUGGGGCGGAGAAGACGCGGAAGCGUUCACGGAGCGUCCGUCUGCGUGACGUUCUAGAAGAGCCCCAGCUGGGGUGUCAGAAGCAUGCAGCAGCUUGAUGUGGGGUCUCAGUUCCCAGACCAGGGAUUGAACCUGUGCCUCAGCAGCGAAAGGGCUGAGUCCUAUCCCCUGGGAUGCCAGGGGAUGCCCAGAAAGAAUACCGUCAGAGUGAAAGACGACAAGAGGAAAGGCGGUGGCAGCUGUGACAGACAAAGCAAGAAAGGCAGGGAGGCUUUUGGGAAGAGAGAUGCGCUGAUUCUUACCUAAGUGCAUUCAAUGCAUCGAGCUGGGGACCUGGGCCUUGUGUCCUCUUUCUUACUUGUAUGCUUUCUGGGCCCCGCCCCGCCCAGGACAUGUGGAAGCCCAUGUCUCGCCCAGGACAAAGUCCCCCCACAGGAGGCAUCACCUCUCCUGUGCCCCAGCCUGGGGAGGAGAAUACCGGCACGUGGACCCUGCUGGGAAGGGCUGCAAGGACGCCCACGGCCAGCGAGCACUCUCCUGCCUGGUCUGUGUCUGCAGCAGGCACGGCGCCGCCUGACUCCACUGCACAGCUAGUCUGAGAGCAGGACCAGAUUGUCAGGGGGUCACUCCUUACGACAUAGACAAAGCCUGCUGUGCAGUCUGGGCCCAGCCAAGGCGUCAGGAACCUGAGCACUUCAUGCAAAGGUCACUCAGGUGGGCUGUGUGCUGUUUUGCGGGACAAGGGCUGAUGAGCUGCUGUGGAGGCAGGAGGUGACGUGGGACAAGGAUCUGGCUCAGCAUCACUGUCCACUGGCUCAGAAACAAAAGUGACUGAGACACGACCACCACCCACUGCGUGUGCAGGACAGAAGGCCCUGCCAUCUUCCGGUCGCACCCGUGCACAGAAGCAGCCAGUGCAGGAACUGGGUGGAUGCUGGAAACCGGCGCCCGCAUUCACUCUUGAAGGAAAACCCACUGUCAUUCACGCUUCAGAAAGCAAACAGGCUGCCCGCAAAGAACGGUUAGGAAACUGGAAGAGUUUUAUUUUGUACUGUUUAAAAAAAAAUGCAGGUUGUCGAUUCCUCUGUAGAAACAGGUUCUCUGGCAACAGUAGUUAACUCUUAACCUCCCAUUAAAAGCUUCACAACUUCAAGUAUUUGAAAUGCACUUAAAAAUUUCCCUUGCGUUUAAGUUUUAAUUUCCCUACUUUUAUUUUAUGUAGUAUGUUCUCUUAGCAAUUAGCCGACUCAUAAAGUCAAAGAAUUUCUUUGAAAAUAAAGGUCAAAUCUUGACUAGGAUGUAAUGAGACAAAUUUGCAUUCUCGGUAUCUGUUUUAGUAAGACUAGUUUCUUUCAUUUUUCCCAAAAGAUAGAAAGUGGGGGGAAAUAGGCAUACCUGUACAAUUCAGAUCAAAGCACAAAGCAUCAUUUAAAAAAUAAAUACCUACGGCAUACCUGCCAUGCUUGAA